UGGAGAAUAGGUCAGUGGCAGGACAUCUGCCUUGCAAGCAGAAGGUCCCUAGUCAACCCCCAGCAUCUCCAG